GACAGAUCCUAGGUCAAUAAAUCCAGACUUAGGGCUAGAAAACUGUAGCUAGGAUGUUAUGUUCCCCCAGUCUGGCUUCUUAGAAAUCUGGACUUUUAAAAAACUUGUCUCUGAGUUCUAAAAGUCCAUUUUGGAAGAUAGAGGAUGAUGAUCACGGUUUAUUUUUCACUGUCCUUGUUUUCUACAAUCAUGAUUUGAGAUCACAAGAUCUCAUUGUUCUGGAGUAGACAUAAUCUGAGUUGGGGGCCAUAAGAAUUUAUUUCCAAUACUUCUCUGAAUAUUUGGAUGAAUACUCAUGAAUUGAGGACAAAUCACAGCCUUACACUCGUGACUUCUUUAUGUAAUUUUUCAGCUGCUUCUCCUUGAAGACAACAACAUACCAGCCCCAACCUCACAGAUGGUGUUAGUCAUCCUGAUAAUGCACCUCAGUUAAUAUCUCAAGUCGGGAUCCAGCUACGCUUACUUGCUUUGUGCACCAGGGUCUUUUGGUUACACUGGACCCACUUGGAUAAUCCAGGAUAAUCUCUCCAUCUCAAGAUCCAGGCUCUUGGAAUAAUCUAGGCAAUAGGUCAUGGUGGUUGGAUCAGGUGGUGGGAAGUGCUGAAAUUCUGGAUAUAUUCUCGAGGUUGAGCUGUUAGAAUUUUCUGGUGAAUUGGCUGUGGGGUGUGAGUGAAAUACAGGAGUAAAAGUUGACUCAUAGGUUUUUGGUUUUAGCAGCGGAAAGAUGGGGAAAACUGCAGGAAGAGAGAGAUGCGGGGAGAAGAUAGAGAGUGUGGUUUGGGCAUGCUAGGAUCUGAGAAUCACAAGUGGAGAUGUGCCAAGCCAUGCAGCUGGAUUUGCUAGUCUACAGUUCAGGGGAGAGGCAGGAGAAGUCUUCAGGAAAUAAAUAUCAAAACCUACUAUGUCUGCUUACUUGUUAAAGGACAAAGGCCA
ensembl:lncRNA